CGCCAUCGCUCUGCCCGCCCACCUUCCCUCCCUCGUCCCGCUCCUCCUCCUCCCCGCUUCCGCCCCUGGCCCUCCGCGGGGCGGGGGUCUCACCAUCCCGGAGCAGAGGCUGAUAACGGCGGUGAGCCGAGGGCGGGCGUUGACGUGCCCCCGGUAGAAGCAGUGCUUCACAUCGGCGUCGGCCGCCUCGGCGUAGAGGCGCCGCUGGUCUGCGGCGGGCUCUCCCAGGAGGCUGACGGUGAAGAGCGGGGCGAUGAAGGCCGAGCUGGCCGUCAGGUUGAAGAGGAACUGCUGCCCGAAGGCGGACAGCCUGUAGUGUGCCUUCGGGGAGUCGGCGACGGCCGCCGUCCAGGCGUCGGGGGCAGCACUGGUGCUCCGCCGGCGCCGCCUGAAGUGGACAUCGGUGGGGAAGGGCUCACCGAACUCAUUCACUCGGGUAGGAGUCACGAUCUCGUACUCGCUGAGCUUCUCCAGCAGCUGGGCUGCGAGGGGACAGACGCUGAGUGAAGUGGCCGUGCCCCGCGGCCCCGGGGGGCGGCAGCGCAGCACUCCCCGCGUCCCUCCCCGAGCACCCCCUUACCUUGCCUGGGGUGCAGCUUCUGCCUCCUCGCUCCCGUCCUCAAGCCGUCGAUGAAGAGCGUGCUUGAAGAAAUGGAUCAGGAGUUGAAGAAUCCCCUGUGUGGCACUUCUUAUAGCAGUUGUUUUCUUAUGCAUUUCUCAGAUAAGAGGCACUUCAAGCAACUUUUGUUCAGGAUGAGAUUUGUGUUGUGCACUUUUCAGGCACCCUGAGGGAAAAGGAACUCCAAAUCUGAGUUUAUUUUAUCCUGUUUUACAGUUUGAAAGGUCUCUGUAAAAAUUUUAGACAUCCUUUAGAACUAAAUGUAGUUAAGGGUUGUCUUCUACCCCUUCCUCAAAUCAAAACUCCCAGCCUUGGUUUAAAAGGUUUUUAAACAUUUAAAACCUGUAAGCAAGGCAGAAGAGAAGUUCGAAAGUUCAGUUUGCACUUCCAUAGAAGAUGUCAAAGUUCUUUGCAUUCUUUGCUCACCUUUGGGACAAGGCACAGAAAUGCUGGUAUUUGCUGCAGAAGGGGAAAGUUCUAAAAUAAAAUUCAAUUCAGAAUCCACUUCUGGGCAAAAUGG